rnacentral:rRNA from 1 species
GACAGAGGGGGCAAGCGUUGCUCGGAAUUACUGGGCGUAAAGGGCGCGUAGGCGGGAUGGCAAGUCGGUCGUGAAAUCCCUCGGCUCAACUGAGGAUCGUCGAUCGAUACUGCCGUUCUUGAGGAUUGCAGAGGAGACUGGAAUUCCCGGUGUAGCGGUGAAAUGUGUAGAGAUCGGGAGGAACACCGGUGGCGAAGGCGGGUCUCUGGGCAAUUCCUGACGCUGAGGCGCGAAAGCCAGGGGAGCGAACGGG